rnacentral:rRNA from 1 species
GUCGUCAGCUCGUGUCGUGAGAUGUUGGGUUAAGUCCCGCAACGAGCGCAACCCCUAUCUUUAGUUGCCAGCAUGUUUGGGUGGGCACUCUAGAGAGACUGCCGGUGACAAGCCGGAGGAAGGUGGGGAUGACGUCAAGUCCUCAUGGCCCUUAUGUCCUGGGCUACACACGUGCUACAAUGGCGAUGACAAUGGGAAGCUAGAUGGCGACAUCGUGCUGAUCUCAAAAAGUCGUCUCAGUUCGGAUUGCACUCUGCAACUCGAGUGC